rnacentral:rRNA from 1 species
AACAAGAGAAGUGAGAAAAUAGUUUUAGUUUUAGUUAAUAGGUAUAUUUAUUAGUUAAUUAUAUUUUGUUAGGUGAAAUUUUAAAAUAUAGAAUGGAUAAUAUAAUUUAUAUAAAGCUAGGAAAAUCAGAUUUUAAACUA